UCUACAUGUGCAUUUCUACAUGUGUGUGUGCGUGUAUGCAUGUACAAGUGUGAGUGUAUGAGUGAAUGUAUGUAUACACACACACACCCCUUUUUAUAAGACUAAUAAUGCUUGGCAACCUUUGCUCUUGUCUUCCAAGUUCCCUGGUCAUUCGAUAUUACUCUUGUCUUUGCACUAAGUCACAUGCUAAUAUUCACAGAAAGAAAAAAACAAUGAUGAACUCCAUCCCAGAGUGUGAGUAUGAACUUUUCCCAAAUGAGCAAAUAAAAGGCAAAAUAUUGUGAUAUCCAGACAUGUUACUGAGAAGUUGAAUUUCUAAUGAAAGCACGUAGGGUGGAGGGUAGGGGAGGAUUCUGAUAUUUGGUCUCCUUUGAUUUUUAAAGUAUUUUUGAUGUUGAGGGUAACAUGUUUUGGUGUUUAGGCUUUUGGUUUGUUUUUUUUUUAUUUUAAAUUCUGGUGCUUCUUUACCUGAAAAUUUUUCAAGGUGUAUUUAAGGUGUUUAUCAGGAAUAAUGUUAAGAUAUAAUACAUACAUAUAUAUAUAUAGAUAGAUAUACGAUACACAUUCAGACAUGUAUACACACACUCAUACAUUCAUACUCACAACAUACAUGCAUUCAGGUACACACACACACAUUUAUGAAAAACUGCAACAAAGAUAACACAAACAAAACAAAAUUUAUUGUGAUCGAAGUAUAUACAUGAUCUAUCAAAAUCACAUCAGAUAAUGGAUAUGGCCUAAACAUAUUCUAAAUAUGUUCUCAGUUUUCAAUCAAAGUAAGCACGAAACAUUCUCAUCCAACUAUAUGAAAAAUUACUUAACAAUGUUGGCGUAAUAUGGUAUGUUAUUUUACCUGAAGAUGUAAUGUGUAACUAAUUGUAGUUCCUGUAGUAAAGAAUGAAUCAGUAACUUUGAUGUAUGCAAAACACAAGUAGUAUAAACCGUUUACAUAUAUCAUCUGGGCAACAACCUCACGUGCAUUUCAAAGCCCUUUUACAGUUACUGGCUACCAUAUAUCAUCGUACCAUGGGGUUACUCCAUUUACUGGAUAUACACAUGAGAAUCCAUGAUAAGCACAAACUAUAUUAUAAGAAAAGGAAUGAAGAAUUCAUAUACAGUAACAAAAAUUCCAACCACUUGCAUGUAGUUCUCAAAAGCUUUGUCAAAAACAUUAACAGAAGUUUCUAACAUUGUCAGAUAAAGAUAUGUUCAAUAUAGUUAUCUGUUAAUAUAACAUACAAGCAUUAAUCGGACAUGUUGUAAAUCUAUUAGUCUCUAUGUUUCUGCCAUCUACUAACAAGAAAAGAUACUGAAAAAUCAUUUAGUUAACCUUCCUUCCUUUUUCAUUACACAUCAUUUAAAAUGCCUAAAGGUUUGAGAGUCAACAUUUCUCAACUGCUAUUAUAGAAAAUUGUUUGAUAGUAACAAAAUUGAAAUUAUGUUGGACAUUAAACAUAAAAAUACAUUUACAAGGAACUGCAAAGCUUCAUUUUCUUGGUUUCUGCCACAAAGCCAAGCCAAUUAUUUCAUAAAGGACAUCUCCACAAAAGUCUUUAUGCAUGGUGAAUGACAGAUUCAUUUAUUGCUAUUUUCAAACAAACUUCUUCCUUCUGAAGAAGAAUGCCAGGAAAACUAUCCAACUGUAUUUGGAAAUGAAAAGACAGUGGAAUUACAUUGGACAUCCAAAGGAAUGAUUGUUGAAUGAUCAAGCUGUACAUUAAAAUGCCAUGAAACUGCAGCUUAUGUAAUUUGGGGAGGGGGGGGGGAGUUCAUCUUAAAUAAAUCUCCAACAAGAAAACAAUUUAAAUGUCAGAUAUAAUAUUUCCAGCAAAUGGCAGGUGCUUUUGAAAAUUUCCUUUAAGAAAUUGGUAAAAAACACAAGACCAAAUUAAAGCAGAUUCACAAUUCACCAUAUAUGAAAGGAUAUACACAAUUAAGUACCUGACUGUAAUCUGUAGGUAAUUUAUAAAAUAUUUCAAAAUGAAUAAACUGAAAUAUCUUAUCUAAAGGAAUUAAAGGAUCUCACAGAAACAAAGUUACACCACCUCCUACUAAGUUCUAUGUACAGAUGUAAAACAUGUCCUGUGCUUUAUAGAAGUACUUAGUUGCAAACUAGUUUGCAUACAAUAUACUACAAUACAUACAUAUACACACACGCACAUGCACACAUUGUACAGGUACACAUGUCCAUAUAUACUUGUGCAAUUAUAAGUAGUUCUCAACAAAUUCCACCCCAACUAAAAAAAUUUGAGGUUUUUUUGUUUGUUUUUUUGCUUCCCUUUACUUUUUAGUUAUGAGAAAGCAAAAUAGUUGAAUUCCAUAUAACACUUCUUUCACCUCGUUGGGCUAAUGUGAAAGGGUUAAAGCAUCUUAAUUUUGUUAUGGCAAUUAAUCUAUCCUCUUUCACUCAUCCUUCUAUGAGAAUUAUUGCAUUAAUGUACUCGUAUACAAUAUUGUUCAUGCAAUCGAAUCUGUUUCACUAGUAAACAUUGUUUAUAUCACCUUUAUAUUAGGGGAUGAAAUAUUUUUUCAAAUGUAAAAUAGGAAUAAUAAUGGGUGUGGUCCACUAUAAGAAUGGAUAUAAUAGGUCUGGUCUACAGUUAGAACACAUAGGAUAGGCAUGGUUCAUCGUUAGAUGUGGGAAAAUGUUUAUGGCUCUUAGAAAAUAUAAAAUUCAAUUGUGGUCCAAUAUAAAUUAUGGGUGCGGUCCAAUGUUUGAAAAUAGAAAAUAUGGGCGUGGUCCAAAAUAUGUAAAUAUAAAAUUUGGGCGUGGUAAUAAAAAGAAAAACGGAAUUUCUGAAUGGUUUACUAUAUAAAAAAAAAAGUAUUAAGGAUGAUUAUAAACUGUUGUUAAAAAUGCAAAGAUGGGUGUGGUUAAAUAAGAAAAAAAAUUGAGGGUUGCUAUCCAGUAUAAGAAAGAAAGACAGUCUACUGUAAGAUGGUACCCCCAAAUACUUCUGCUGUCUAAAUUUUUCAUAUUGAAAAUGUUGAACUUGUUGCAAGUGAGGUGCGAAGAUGCCUUUUUCUAAAGGUUUUUAUUGAAUUUUUUGAUUUUUAUUCCCUCCAGUUUUAUAACAUAAGUUGGGUUCAUAACAUGAUGAGGAUGUGUGUUUGUUUUUUUAAUAUUGUGUGUGUAUGUGUAUAUAUAUAUGUAUAUAUAUAUAUAUUAUAUAUAUAUAUAAUUGUGUGUGUAUGUAUAUACACGUGCGUAUAUAUGAAUGUCUAUUAUAUUUAUUUGUGUGUUUUACUGUUGACCAAUUUGUAAGCUCCCUUGAAAAACAGGACAAUAAUUUAAUUUGUCUUUCUCAUUUUCAACUAUUUGACUCCUUUAGAAAGCAAUGGAUUUCACAACUUCCAAUUUCUCUCCCUCUCAAAAUGUAAAGUUGUUCUGACUUUGUUGAAUGUAAUGAUUAUAUUUGGUUUAAAGGUGAUCAUAUACACACAAUGGUGAUGAAGAGUAAGGAUGAGUGAGCAACAUUAUAUUUGAGAUUAAUAUAUUCCUUGUUUCUGUAUUUACAAUACUACCAUUGAUUUCAUGUGAAAAUUUUGCAAUGCCUUACCCAAAAUGAAGACGGACUAACUACAUUUUUAAGUAGGACCCUUGAUAAUUGCCAUGUUUUUGCAUGAAACCGACAGUAGCAUUGUAAACUAACAAAAAGUGUGUGUCCUUAACCAGUAUAACACAUCGGAUCAUGUCUUUGCCACAGAUUAAUAAUUUCACCAAGAUGGACCAAAAUUUUCAUAUCUCCUCCUUUAUAUUGUGGAUUAUUACUAAAUAUUUAAAGAGUUACAGGGAACCAGAAUGCAGCACUUGGUAAAAUCAGUGAAUCUCAGGAAAAAAAAAAUGAUCUUUAUAUUCUGACUUGAAAUAUUUCUGAGGCUAGCUUUGCCUUUAGGGUCAAUAAAAUUGCUACGAAAAUUA